UACGGAGGGUGCAAGCGUUAUCCGGAUUCACUGGGUUUAAAGGGUGCGCAGGCGGAUUUGUAAGUCAGUGGUGAAAGCCCCGGGCUCAACCUGGGAAUUGCCGUUGAUACUGCAAGUCUUGAGUGCAGUUGAGGUGGGCGGAAUACAUCAUGUAGCGGUGAAAUGCUUAGAUAUGAUGUAGAACACCGAUUGCGAAGGCAGCUCACUAAACUGCAACUGACGCUCAGGCACGAAAGCGUGGGUAUCAAAC
rnacentral:rRNA from 1 species